rnacentral:rRNA from 1 species
CCUACGGGAGGCAGCAGAGGGGGAUAUUGCACAAUGGGGGGAACCCUGAUGCAGCGACGCCGCGUGGGUGAAGAAGCGCCUCGGCGCGUAAAGCCCUGUCAGCAGGGAAGAAAAUGACGGUACCUGAAGAAGAAGCCCCGGCUAACUACGUGCCAGCAGCCGCGGUAAUACGUAGGGGGCAAGCUUGAUCCGGAUUUACUGGGUGGAAAGGGGGCGCAGACGGCGAUGCAAGCGAGGAGUGAAAGCCCGGGGCCCAACCCCGGGACUGCUCUUGGAACUGCGUGGCUGGAGUGCAGGAGGGGCAGGCGGAAUUCCUGGUGUAGCGGUGAAAUGCGUAGAUAUCAGGAGGAACACCGGUGGCGAAGGCGGCCUGCUGGACUGCAACUGACGUUGAGGCCCGAAAGCGUGGGGAGCAAACAGGAUUAGAUACCCCUGUAGUC